rnacentral:rRNA from 1 species
ACCCCAAACCGACACAGGUGGUCAGGUAGAGAAUACCAAGGCGCUUGAGAGAACUCGGGUGAAGGAACUAGGCAAAAUGGUGCCGUAACUUCGGGAGAAGGCACGCUGAUAUGUAGGUGAAGUCCCUUGCGGAUGGAGCUGAAAUCAGUCGAAGAUACCAGCUGGCUGCAACUGUUUAUUAAAAACACAGCACUGUGCAAACACGAAAGUGGACGUAUACGGUGUGACGCCUGCCCGGUGCCGG